rnacentral:rRNA from 1 species
GAUGAACGCUGGCGGCGUGCUUAACACAUGCAAGUCGAACGGUGAAGGCGGAGCUUGCUCUGCUGGAUCAGUGGCGAACGGGUGAGUAACACGUGAGCAGUCUGCCCCUGACUCUGGGAUAAGCGCUGGAAACGGCGUCUAAUACUGGAUACGAGCUGCGAAGGCAUCUUCAGCAGCUGGAAAGAAUUUCGGUCAGGGAUGAGCUCGCGGCCUAUCAGCUUGUUGGUGAGGUAAUGGCUCACCAAGGCGUCGACGGGUAGCCGGCCUGAGAGGGUGACCGGCCACACUGGGACUGAGACACGGCCCAGACUCCUACGGGAGGCAGCAGUGGGGAAUAUUGCACAAUGGGCGAAAGCCUGAUGCGGCAACGCCGCGUGAGGGACGACGGCCUUCGGGUUGUAAACCUCUUUUAGCAGGGAAGAAGCGAAAGUGACGGUACCUGCAGAAAAAGCGCCGGCUAACUACGUG